GGCAGCCGCGGUAAUUCCAGCUCCAAUAGCGUAUAUUAAAGUUGUUGCAGUUAAAAAGCUCGUAGUUGAAUUUCGAGACCGGUUUACUGGUCGUGCUUUUGUACGUACUGGUAUUAUUGGUUUCUCCUUUCUGACGAACUAUAAUGCCAUUAAUUUGGUGUUUUAGGGAAUCAGGACUGUUACUUUGAAAAAAUUAGAGUGUUUAAAGCAGGCUCACGCUUGAAUACAUUAGCAUGGAAUAACGGAAUAGGACGUUUGAUUCUAUUUUGUUGGUUUCUAGGAUCGACGUAAUGAUUAAUAGGGAUAGUUGGGGGCAUUAGUAUUCAAUUGUCAGAGGUGAAAUUCUUGGAUUUAUUGAAGACUAACUACUGCGAAAGCAUUUGCCAAGGAUGUUUCAUUAAUCAAGAACGAAAGUUAGGGGAUCGAAGACGAUCAGAUACCGUCGUAGUCUUAACCAUAAACUAUGCCGACUAGGGAUCGGAUGAUGUUAAUUUUUUAAUGACUCAUUCGGCGCCUUACGG
rnacentral:rRNA from 1 species